AUCACUUUUAUCUCUCUCUGUUAUUAGAAAGAGAAUCUCAAUUCUAGAUCUCAAACAGAAACUAGAUCUUAUUUCUUCUUCAUCAUACCAAGUGUAAAUUACAACCUGGGAUUUCCAUCUGCUCUUAAUAAAUCUCUUUUCCUCAUCGUUAAAACCCUCCCUCAAAAGAAUCAGACAACAUCUACCUUAAAUUUCACAGUAAGGAUCCAAACCAGAACCCAAGAAGACAUUCUCUAUGAUUUUUUUUUUGGUCACGGCGACUUCGAUUCUUCUUAGAUCAUCAUCUCCUUCUGCUCUAAAGUCUCUCUCGCUACCAGAUCUGUAAAAACAGCAAUAUUUGGAUUUGAGAAAGCUGUUGUUGGAGUGUUUCACAUUUUAAUCAGCUCUUCUUUAGGGGACAUUGGAUCAUGUUGCCUUUACACAACCAUUUCCUCACAUCCACUGCAACCCUUUCAUUGCCUCACAGCCACUAGCAUACAUCCAUUGCCACCCAUCAUUUCUUAACAGUCAUUACCAUACACCCAUUCGUUCACACCCAUGGCCACACACCCACAGCCGUACGCCCACUGCCACAUGACCACUGUUGUACGCCCACUGCCACAUGCCCACUGCCGUACGCCCACUGCCACAUGCCCACUGCCGCACGCCCACUGCCGCAUACACAUAAACAGGUGUGUGGUGGGAUGGCGUGUGAUGGGAUGGUGUGUGAUGGGACGGUGUGUGAUGGGACGACGUGUGAUGAGACGGUGUGCGAUGGGACGGUAUGUGGCUGGACGGUGCUGAAAGAGUUGCUUUCUCUUUUGUGCAAUGGUAAUCUAUUGAGGAUUUUCUCAAUGGAAUCUCUGAAAGGUAGGACCAGUUACGUGAUUUUUCGAUUAUACUCUAAUAUUGGGUUCUUCGCAUUCUGGUGAUUUACUGGAACAGCUUAGUGAUCCAUAUAUUAUGAUAGCGCUGAAGGAGGUAUCUCUAGAGCAUAUAAAAGAGUGGGUUGUUAUCUUUACCAUCACCAGAAUCGUACUUACAGGGAUUGGGCUCUAAGUAUCAAGAUUUAAUUUGGAUGCUGAGCGGUUAUCUGCGUUGAAAGUGAUGCUGUUUGCCUGUUUAUAUCACCGGGAAUAGAACUAAAUGAUUGGUUGCCGGGAAUAUUGUUGCUUGGUACAUUGAGAACGAUAAGAAGGUCAUCUGCAAAAGAAUGGUUUACAAGUUAAACACAAAAGAAGGCUGUUUGUUCUGAACCCCAGAUGGAGAAAGAUUUUGUUCAAUAGAAAAGAAAUAAAUUAAAGAAGAAAUGGUUGAAGAGACUGCUGAAGACACUUUCCGUUUUGAACUUGAUGCAUUUGCUUACAGACAUGGAGCUGCACUAAAUGUCUAGGAAUGUCAUCAAACCAUAAGUUUUCUUGUAUUGUCUUUAUCGCAAAAGGGCAAGGAAUCUGGCUACUAUGAGGAAUAUUCUUUCGGCGCUCGAAUUGAGGACUGCAAAUCGUUUACGGAGUGCAUUCUUGGAAUGUUUAGAUUGACUUUAAAGAAUAACAUCAAGAAUUGUACAGAGAUCAAUACUGCAGCUUGACAGGACUGGUUCCUGACACAAUCAGUAUACCAAACCUGGUAUAUUUAAAUCUCAGCUCAAACCUGCUUAAUGGGCCAAUGCCUUCAAGAAGGCUCUCGGAUGAUAUCAUCCAUCUACACUCAGGGCCAUUGGAUCAUGUUGCCUUUACACAACCAUUUCCUCACAUCCACUACAACCCAUUCAUUGCCUCAAAGCCACUAGCAUACAUCCAUUGCCACCCAUCCUUGCUUAACAGUCAUUACCAUACACCCAUUGCUUCUCACACCCACUGCCACAUGCCCACUGCCGUACGCCCACUGCCGCAUACCCAUAACCCGGUGUGUGGUGGGACGGCGUGUGAUGGGAUGGUGUGUGAUGGGGCGGCGUGUGAUGGGGCGGCGUGUGAUGGGAUAGCGUGUGAUGGGACGGCGUGUGAUGGGAUGGCGUGUGAUGGGACGGUGUGUGGUGGGACGGUGUGUCGCCAUUGGAUUGUAGGGCCAUUGGGUCAUGUUGCCUUUUACAGUCAUUUUCUCUCAUCCACUGCAAGCCAUCCAUUGCCUCACAGCCAUUAGCAUGUAUCCGUUGCCAUCCAUCCUUACCUAACAGAUAUUGCCAAUUUGCCAUACACCCAUGGCCAUACACUGCUGCACGCCCUCUGGCGCAUGGAUCUCUGAAAUUUUCUGGUUCUUACUUGUAUAGGAGCUGCUCUUAUGUGUAUGAUGGUCCUCAAAGGCUCAAACCAUAAGUUUCCGAUUUGGAAAUGUGUCUUCGUUGCAGAAGGUCUCCUAAUUCUGAAGGAACACACAUAACCAUCUAGAAGGAAUUGGAUAUUUGGGAUUUGAAUACAUCACUUUGGUCCCCAUUCAAGCUAAACCUUUGAUGUCUGCUGCUGAGGUUAAUUGGCUCAAUUAUUACCACUCACAAUUCCAGAAGGAAUUUGCCAUGGUGUAUGAGCUGCAGUGACUGCCAUGAAGGUCCUCAAGCUUCCAUUUGGAAGUAUCACUGCAUCUCGAAUGGUAGCAAUGACCUGGUUAUUAUGAAGACCAUACAUCCACAAAGAAGCAAAGGUUACUUUUUUGGUAUACAUCGACUUCUUCUUCACUACUUACUGAGCUCCAUAAGCCUUUAAUGGAGGUCCAACAUCAAUGUAAUUGUAACGGACUGAAUAAUGCUAGUGAAACACCAACCGUGGAUGUAAGCCUUGUGCCGAACCACGUAAAAUAUGUCUCCAACUCUCCAUUACUCUCUUGAUCUCCAUCUCUUAUUUUAAAUUUUCUUCAUCCCAGCUGGAUGGUUGGCGUAUCUGCUGCUAGGUGAGAAUCCAGGGUCUCAGCUGUUGGGACAUCUAAUGGCAUUGUUUGCCCAAUUUCUGCAAGGCUGCUGUUGGGGCAUCUAAUGGCACUGUUUGCCCAAUUUCUGCUGGAUUAGAUUUAGUCAAUUUCGUCCCUAAAUAAAUAAUCAAAAGACUGGCCGAAAAAUAUCUGGCAGGUUUUGAUAGGGUCACAGACUCUUCUCUUCUUUUCCAACUAUCUAUAUGAUCUCGUAUUACAUUUCUGAUCAUCAACAUAAGUCUUCUCUUCUUUUCCAAU